rnacentral:rRNA from 1 species
AAUAGGGCGGCACCUUGACGGUACCUGACCAGAAAGCCCCGGCUAACUACGUGCCAGCAGCCGCGGUAAUACGUAGGGGGCAAGCGUUGUCCGGAAUUAUUGGGCGUAAAGCGCGCGCAGGCGGUCCUUUAAGUCUGAUGUGAAAGCCCACGGCUUAACCGUGGAGGGCCAUUGGAAACUGGAGGACUUGAGUACAGAAGAGGAGAGUGGAAUUCCACGUGUAGCGGUGAAAUGCGUAGAGAUGUGGAGGAACACCAGUGGCGAAGGCGACUCUCUGGUCUGUAACUGACGCUGAGGUGCGAAAGCGUGGGGAGCGAACAGGAUUAGAUACCCUGGUAGUCCACGCCGUAAACGAUGAGUGCUAGGUGU